rnacentral:rRNA from 1 species
CCUACGGGUGACAGCAGUGGGGAAUAUUGCGUAAUGGGCGAAAGCCUGACGCAGCGACGCCGCGUGAGGGAUGAAGGUCUUCGGAUCGUAAACCUCUGUCAGCAGGGAAGAACGGUCACUGUGCUAAUCAGCAGUGAAUUGACGGUACCUGCAAAGGAAGCACCGGCUAACUCCGUGCCAGCAGCCGCGGUAAUACGGAGGGUGCGAGCGUUAAUCGGAAUUACUGGGCGUAAAGCGCUCGUAGGCGGUAUGUCAAGUCAAGGGUGAAAUCCCCGCGCUCAACGUGGGAACUGCCUUUGAAACUGGCAAACUGGAGUGUGUGAGAGGAUAGUGGAAUGCCAGGUGUAGGAGUGAAAGCCGUAGAUAUCUGGAGGAACAUCAGUGGCGAAGGCGACUAUCUGGCACAUAACUGACGCUGAGGAGCGAAAGCGUGGGUAGCAAACAGGAUUAGAUACCCCGGUAGUC